CGGCCCGCCUGGGCCGUCAGCUCUCCCGGUCUCGCGUCGUUACUCCUGCGUGAAGCGGUGAGUCGCGCGCGGGUCGGCGACUCACUCUGGGGGUCUCCACCGCUGAACCCUCCUGAAAGACUGACUGGCGGAAACUGGGACUGGAGUGUGAGCAUCUGAGGGGCUCUCCAGUGGGGCUUGGAGAGGAAUGUCUCAAAUGACUUUUCUUGAAAGCUGAGGGAGGUUUUGAAGAUCAAGUGAAGGAAGAGGGCCUAGCUCGUCUGCUGGUGGCAUCGUCUCAUCAAUCAUGUCAUCAAUUGCUAGAAAUAUGAGAACUCUCCAGAAGAUCAAGUACUGUGUAGUAGUUACCAUGCACAGGCCCCAUAGAGCCCUGGCCUUUGAGAAUGCCCUAUUCCCCAACCCAAAAGAAGGUCCCAUGUGACAAAGUUUGGAUUAGACAUUACAAAUGGCUUCCAAUGGACUACUUGCCAGACUUUGUCAUGGGAACCAUCUGAUGAGCAGAACAAAGUGCAAGUGCAUAAGCAACUUCCAAUGAGAACCUAUGUAUGGGCUUGGCCCAGGUAUCUUGAAACCCUGGGAAGACCUAAAUAUAAACAAAAUUUUGCAAAGGAGAAGGGAAUCGUGAACAAAUCACCUUUCUAUAAGACACCACAAACGAUGACUGGAGAUCUGAAUUGGAAAUGCCACUGCAGCCCUGUGACCCAAGGCUCUGGAAUGGAUCAGCCCUCCUACUCACUCCCUCCUGCACACACUGCGUCUCCAUGGAAACAGCUUGUCAGGCCCUGUUUGGCUGCAGGUUCUGAAGACCUCUCAUCAGCAGCCCCAGUCCUGCACAGAUUCAGUCUUAAUAAGCCAGGCUUCUAAGGAGGAACUUGUACUAGGAGGCCCAUCCUCUCUAGCUGGUGAGGUCUGGAAUUGUCCUUAAGUCUCCUUUGGGGUAUACCUGGGGAGUCCUGAAUGUCACUGAGUUGCCCUGACCUUCCAACACUGAUAUUCAGGUCAAUGGCAGGGUUUCCAUCCUAGGUUCCUGCUUCAACCUGAACUCAUCAUCUCCUUCCAGCAAGCCUUCUGCUCCCAUCAUCUCUCCCCACCCACCAAAGGUGAAAGUCAUUCUGAGCUCUACAGGCCCCACCUGUGGCUAAUCACUAAGAGUCUUCUGUUGUCGGGCAUCAUUCAUCCAUCAGAUCGGAUCCGGCAUUUGCUACACUGCCAGGACACUGCAACUUGGACUGCUGGCCACUGUCCUUGGGGGUACAUCUACAAAUGGGCAGUAAUGGAGAGAACUUAAAGGCAUUAAACAUCAUAGAUGAGGGUGGAAGUACACGUUUUCUGUUUCUUUAAGCUAGACAAAAACCUAACAAUCUGAAUUGGAAUACUAUCACUCAUAACUUCUACUAUAUAAAUUAAUAAUUUUAACAAGUAUAACGUUCUAGUAGACAUGAGACAGUUAAUGUAGAGACCAAGGAACAACUGGGUCAUUUGCCUCAGUACUGAGGUAGUUUCUUAAUUGGACGUGUUAGGAGUGGUAGAAGGUCUCGUCUGUUGACAACUUAGAAAGUUGCAGUUGAGGAGGCAAAAGGAAAACAGAAAUCAUAAGCACUUUUACACAUAUGAAGUUGUUAAUAGGCAGCUUCUAACUCUAUGUAUGUUCGUGUUACUAAAACCUAGAACAGCACUCAAAGUACUUGUAAGUGCUCAACAACUGUUUGUUUAACCAAAACCAAACUAAAAGCAAAACAAAAUGAAACAAACAAAACUGGUACUUGUUAACAUCAGUCAGCUAUGUCCUACUCUAGGUUCAAUAAUACUAUCAGAUUAAUAUAAACUCUGAAACCAAAGUAACCAUGUCCUAUGAUUGUAUAGCAUCAUCCCACAUGUAUUUCCUUUUCAUACUCAACAGUUCUAUACUCAACAUAUACUCAGUAUGUAGUCUUUAUUGCCUCCAUUUACAGGUAAAGGAACCACGUCAUAACAGGUAAAGGGGCUUGCUCAGAUAAGCAAGAAAAUUAAUGUUAACCUAGAGUCUAAGAUUCUUAACUCCAAAAUGAAUAGACAAAAUUAAAAGACAAAAAAAAUCCUUUAUUAGGGGCAAAGAGAUCCUCCUUAAUAUUUUAAUAAAGAACUAUCACAACUCAAUAAUGAAAAGACAAAGACCCUAAUAGAAAAAUUGGCAAAGUACACAAACUAACAAAUCAUAAAAGGAGAUCUCUGUAGUAAUCAAAGAAAUACUUUAUUGUUAAUCAGGCUCUGCUUAAAAUGUGAGUUCAGAGAUCGCUGGUAAAAUGGCCUAGACUAGAUUUCAGAACAAAGGUUAAAGAUAAAUGGGCCUUGGGGCUUCCCUGGUGGCGCAGUGGUUAAGAACCUGCCUGCCAAUGCAGGGGACAUGGGUUCGAGCCCUGGUCCGGGAAGAUCCCACAUGCUGCAGAGCAACUAAGCCAGUGCACUACAACUACUGAGCCUGCGCUCUAGAGCCCGUAAGCCACAACUACUGAAGCCCGCGUGCCUAGAGCCCAUGCUCCGCAACAAGAGAAGCCACUGCAACGAGAAGCAUGUGCACUGCAACAAAGAGUAGCCCCCGCUCACCACAACUAGAGAAAGCCUGCGUGCGCAGCAACGAAGACUCAAUGCAGCCAAAAAUAAAUAAAUAAAAUUUAAAAAUUUAUAAUAAAUAAAUAAAUGGGCCUUGGACUUCCCUGGUGGUGCAGUGGUUAAGAAUCUGCCUGCCAAUGCAGGGGACACGGGUUCGAGCCCUGGUCCGGGAAGAUCCCACAUGCUGCAGAGCCACUAAGCCCGUGCACCACAACUACUGAGCCUGAGCUCUAGAGCCCACAAGCCACAACUGCUGAGCCCGCGUGCUACAACUACUGAAGCCCGUGCUCCUAGAGCCCAUGCUCCACAACAAGAGAAGCCACCACGAUGAAAAGCCCAUGCACCGCAACGAAGAGUAGCCCCCGCUCGCUGCAAGUAGAGAAAGCCCACACGUAGCAACAAAGACCCAACACAGCCAAAAAUAAAUAAAUAAAAUAAAUAAAUUUAUAAUAAAUAAAUAAAUAAAUGAGCCUUUUCCUUGCCCUAAUCCCAAUUUGAGUUUUGCAGUUUUAAUACCUUCCACUGGGAGUGAAGACAUGAGAAAGCCAAAAGCAUUGGGAAGAACAGAUCAGCAUUGUCUGGGCCUCACAGAUAAUUAUCAGCAGCUGAGGAGAAGGAAUUCAUAGGGCAGCAUCCCAGAGCCUGUGGGCCCCCGAUGUUCCUCAGGGACAGAGUCAAGCCUUGUCUGGCUCUAUGAAGAGCCCUGUAGUCUUGCUCCUCAAACUGUGGUUCGUGGGCAGCAGCGGGGACAUCUCCCCGGACCUUACGGAAAUGCCGAACCUCGAGCCCUGACUCCAGGCCUCUUGAAUCAGAAUCUGCAUUUUAGCAAGUUUCCCAGGUAACAUGCACACACAGUGAAGCUUGAAAAGCAUUGCCCUGGGGGGCGUGGCUCAGGGUCUGCUCAUUGCAGGUGCUCAGUAAAUGCAUGCCCACUGAAUGAAAGACUGGACAGAGUGAUCUCUGUGGUCCCUUUCAAAAG